rnacentral:rRNA from 1 species
GGAGUUAGCCGGUGCUUCUUCUGUGAGUGAUGUCCUUCCUGCCGGCUAUUAACCCGCAGGCCUUCUUCCUCACUGAAAGUGCUUUACAACCCGAAGGCCUUCUUCACACACGCGGCAUGGCUGGAUCAGGGUUGCCCCCAUUGUCCAAUAUUCCCCACUGCUGCCUCCCGUAGGAGUCUGGGCCGUGUCUCAGUCCCAGUGUGGCUGAUCAUCCUCUCAGACCAGCUACGGAUCGUCGCCUUGGUGAGCCGUUACCUCACCAACCAGCUAAUCCGACAUAGGCUCAUCCGAUAGCGCGAGGCCCGAAGGUCCCCCGNUUUCCCCCGUAGGGCGUAUGCGGUAUUAGCCUGGGUUUCCCCAGGUUAUCCCCCGACUACCGGGCAGAUUCCUAUGCAUUACUCACCCGUCCGCCGCUCGCCACCAGGGAGCAAGCUCCCCGUGCUGCCGCUCGACUUGCAUGUGUUAGGCCUGCCGCCAGCGUCAUCUGAGCAUGAUACAACUACUCGA